UUUGUGCCUCCUUUUCUAUGCUUAAAUCAAGGUGGGCUUUAGUUUUCUUCUGUUGGGUUACUCGUGAGCUUCUGAUUUUGAGUCUUUUCAUGAUGUUCAAUCUUCUGCUUGAAAAUGUGAAUCUGAGUCUCCUUUUAUAUACUUAAAUCAAGGUCGGUUUUAAUUUUACAUUGGAUGAAUGUUGUUGGUAUGUGAACAAAGUUUGGCAUAUUUUUGAUUUUUGUUUCUCAUGUUGGCAACAGCCCUUGCACCAAUAUAUCUGCUUUCUUUCUUGUGUGUGUGAGUGGCUGUUUGGCAAACUUUGGCUGUGUGACUCGUGAGCUUCUGAUUUGAGCUCUUUUGUGAUGUCUAUUCUUCUGCUUGAAAAUGCGAAUUUCAGCCUCCUUUUGUAUGCUUAAAUCAAUGUCGGCUUUAGUUUUACAUUCAGCGAAUAUUGUGAACAAAGUUUGGUAUAAUAUGGAUCCUUGUUUCUCAUGUUGGCAACAGCCCUUAUACCAAUAUAUUUGCUUUCUUUCUUGUGGUUGUGAGUGGCUGUUUGGCGAACUUUGGGUGGGUGACUCAUGAGCUUCUGAUUUUUAGCUCUUUUGUGAUGUUCAAUCUUCUGCUUGAAAAAGGCACGGAGCCUCCUCUUAUAUGCUUAAAUCAAGGGUGACUCGAGUUUACUUUGGUUUAGCAAAAAGAUUUAACAAAAAUUUUCUUAAAAUUUAUCUUAAAAUUUUCUCUGAAUAUAGAAAAUAACUUUGUGGAGAAGAAGAUUGGGAGGCCGUAUAUACUUCGGUAGCACAAGAAGCUUCUUUCUACUUUAAUGUGGGAUAGCUUUGAUCAACUUUUUCUUUAUACUGAAAAGGACGAUGAAUGCGUGCAAAUACCGGGAAUGGAUUUAUAUACCCCCAGAUGUAUCGACUCAUUUGUAUACUAAAUUAAAUGAAAACAAGCUUUUGAUUUUAAAUUUGAA
rnacentral:lncRNA from 1 species